rnacentral:rRNA from 1 species
CCUACGGGUGGCAGCAGUGGGGAAUAUUGCGCAAUGGGCGAAAGCCUGACGCAGCGACGCCGCGUGAGGGAUGAAGGUCUUCGGAUCGUAAACCUCCGUUAGCAGGGAGGAACGGUCACUGUGCUAAUCAGCAGUGAAUUGACGGUACCUGCAAAGGAAGCACCGGCUAACUCCGUGCCAGCAGCUGCGGCAAUACGGAGGGUGCGUGCGGUAAUCGGAAUUACUGGGCGUAAAGCGCUCGUAGGCGGUAUGUCAAGUCAAGGGUGAAAUCCCCGCGCUCAACGUGGGAACUGCCUUUGAAACUGGCAGACUGGAGUGUGUGAGAGGAUAGUGGAAUUCCAGGUGUAGGAGUGAAAUCCGUAGAUAUCUGGAAGAACAUCAGUGGCGAAGGCAGCUAUCUGGCACAUAACUGACGCUGAGGAGCGAAAGCGUGGGUAGCAAACAGGAUUAGAUACCCCAGUAGUC